AGAGUUUGAUCCUGGCUCAGGACGAACGCUGGCGGCGUGCUUAACACAUGCAAGUCGAACGGAAAGGUCUCUUCGGAGACACUCGAGUGGCGAACGGGUGAGUAACACGUGGGCAAUCUGCCCUGCACUUCGGGAUAAGCCUGGGAAACUGGGUCUAAUACCGGAUAGGACCUCAAGACGCAUGUCUUCUGGUGGAAAGCUUUUGCGGUGUGGGAUGGGCCCGCGGCCUAUCAGCUUGUUGGUGGGGUGACGGCCUACCAAGGCGACGACGGGUAGCCGGCCUGAGAGGGUGUCCGGCCACACUGGGACUGAGAUACGGCCCAGACUCCUACGGGAGGCAGCAGUGGGGAAUAUUGCACAAUGGGCGCAAGCCUGAUGCAGCGACGCCGCAUGGGGGAUGACGGCCUUCGGGUUGUAAACCUCUUUCAGCAGGGACGAAGCGCAAGUGACGGUACCUGCAGAAGAAGCACCGGCCAACUACGUGCCAGCAGCCGCGGUAAUACGUAGGGUGCGAGCGUUGUCCGGAAUUACUGGGCGUAAAGAGCUCGUAGGUGGUUUGUCGCGUUGUUCGUGAAAUCUCACGGCUUAACUGUGAGCGUGCGGGCGAUACGGGCAGACUAGAGUACUGCAGGGGAGACUGGAAUUCCUGGUGUAGCGGUGGAAUGCGCAGAUAUCAGGAGGAACACCGGUGGCGAAGGCGGGUCUCUGGGCAGUAACUGACGCUGAGGAGCGAAAGCGUGGGAGCAAACAGGAUUAGAUACCCCCGUAGUCC
rnacentral:rRNA from 1 species